rnacentral:lncRNA from 1 species
CACAUUAAUAUUAGUUAAAUUGAAGUUCAUAUAGAAAUCUAAAAGUCAAAUAAAAUAAUAAAUAAUAAAUAAACUCUCACACUUUUUGAGAGAUUCAAAAUUCUGACUUCGAGAAUGAACCAAUGACAUAUUAGCCAACUCAACUCAAUAAUUUUUAGAAAAAAAAAACAUGAGUUAAGCGAAAACAUAAAUCAAGUUGAAACAACACAAAUAAACUAGACUAACUUCAUCGAAUCAUGUCGAAAUAAAAAGCCGAGUUUCAUUGUCUCGAAUUGAAAAAUUCAAAUGCUAUCAUUUCAUUGGUUAAGUUGAUUUUCACAUCUUAACUUUAUCCGUAACAUGGAUACUUUAAGUCUUCCCAUAAUAUGUGAGCAAAAAAUUUUAAAAAAAUAAUUGAAUAAUUAGGAUCAAGAUGUUACAUCUAGUCUAAACUAAACCUAAUAAAAUGUUGUAAAGAAAUAAACGAAUAAUAACCAUGUAUAUCUAUUGUACAUAUAUAGUUCCAAUUUAAAACUAUACUGAUCUUGAGGCUUUAAUUGGGUUAAAAAAAAGGAAAAAGAAAAAACUGUGUUAGAACAAGAUUUACUUUUAGACUGAAUGUAAUUAUAGUAUAGUACCAUAAUUACACCGUAAUCGGACGCCAUGAAUUAUGGUUCAACCGUCGACACUCUUGAAGUAUGAAUGUACAACUUUCACCAGCUCAUCAAUUUUAUGGCCUCUAAUGGGGUUUGGGGAUAGAAAUGGACGGUCAAAAGAGCUGAGCAGUGACAAAUAGAUCCACAGCAAUCUCAAUCUGAUGGGACCCUUAGUUGCAUGGUGACCUUUAUCAUUUCUCUGUAUUUAAUAUUUUUGCCUUUUUGAAAGGUCCUUCUUCACACAUGCGUGGGCCAUAUUAAUUAUCUAUGUCUUUGUGCUACAACCACAAAGAAGAAAUUUCACGGUCAUCUAAAUUUAAACCUCCGACCACUCAUUUGAAAAAGAAAAUCAAAUCAAUCUUUAAAUUACAAAAACACAAAAUAAUUUUUUAAAAAAACGUUAAAAAAGAAAUCGACGAGGACCGGUUAUUUCUGAUUAAAAAUAAGGAGGUGCGAGUAAAAGUGUGUCAUAAAAUAAAUAAUAAUUAAAUGUAGGUGAAAAUUUUUAAAUGGAUCGAGCUUAAUAAUAACUCAACAUGUUCGUGAGACUCAAUAAUUAUUAUUAUUUGAAAAGUAUGUCGUAAAUUUCUCUUUCAAUUAUAAUAGCCAAUUAUUGACUCAAGAGAGUAACCAAAUGUUUAUGGUCUGUGAUUUUAUAUUGUGUGUGCCUAGCACGCAAAUAAGUUGUUUAUUGGUAUCCGCGCAUCCCCGGCACCACGAUGGUUAGGAAUACCAGUUACAAUUAGACAUUUGAUUUUUAUCAUAUCUUAUAACACAAAUCUUAUUUAAUUAUUCCGUCGUCUCACUUCCAAGUUACCAAAAAAUGGGCAAGAUAACGUGACGGUAGGUCACAUGUCACAUAAUCAAAUGAAACAGAUAAUCAGAGAUACGUACAAAUAAAUAAAUAAAUGAUCCAAUAAUAAUAAUAAUGGAACGGUUGCCUGGUGAUCAAGACUAUUCAUCAGAUGGAAUGCAAUUUCAUGUACAAUGUACAAUUCAUUUGACUAAAUUUUUAAAAGAGUUGGAACUAAACAUAUUUAUAUUGAAGUUUUGGUUUGGAAGCGCCGUCCAUGGAAGGCAAUUGAAACUGAGAACAGCAAAAGGUUUUGUUCAUUUACAUUCAUUAUGGCAAAGAAUGUGAGGUGCGGUGAGGCGCCAAAACCAAGCAAAAGAUGCGAGAGGGUUGGAGAUUGAAAAUGACGUCUGGAUUUUGGGUUUGGGACUCAAAGAUAAGUGAGACUCCAAAUAUAAUGAGUUUUUUUUUUUUUUUUUAAAAAAAAGGAUCGUUUUAAUUCAAAUUUAAAUAAUUAUAAAUAAAAUUUUUGACUCUUUAUCUAUAAAAAUAAGAACCAAUGGUAUAAAAAAUUUAGAUUGAUGCCACACUCAAAAAAUAAGAGAAAAUUGUGAGUAAUAAGUGUAUAAAUAACGCCAUAAGAUAAUAUCUUGAUAAGUUAUAAAAACUUUUUGAAGAACUAAAAAGAGAAAAACUCUCAUUG